rnacentral:ncRNA from 1 species
AUAUAGCAUCAAGAACGCUAUUGCGUACCAACCGACAGCUCGUUGCACGGUGGUUUAGAAUGCGGGGUUCCUCCCAAACUAACGAGAAAUCCUAAAUUCUCUUGUUGCGGUUUAAUUUAAAUUGUAAUAAAAAUGAAAAAAAG